GAGAGAGCUAUGUGAAGAAUGAAGUUAUGUUUCUGUAAGCAUAGUUCCGUGGAACUAUCAGAAACCAGGAGAGAGGACUGCAAUAGAUCCUUCCUAGAACCUUCAGAGGGAGCAUGGCCCUGCUGACAUCUGGAUCUUGAACCGCCAGCCUCCGAAACUGUCUGGCCUUUCAAGUCUAAAUCCUUGGACCAUCUGGACUUGGUUUCGGUGUAUGGUGUGAGGAGGAGGAAAACAAGAAGGACCACAGGAAAAGAAACUUCUAGUUAAUGCUGCCUUCUAAGGCUCUUGCCAAAACACUGCUGCUCACCAAAACCUGGGCAGGAAACCCUUUUAACACACACACAGGCCAGCAUCCUACUGAAAGAGUCAAGGCUGACAGAAGCUCAGGAUAAGUUAGAGGAAUUGCUCAUUAAAAAAUUGACAUUUGCUUUGUCUAAGGCCUUGCCUGAUCGGUAUCAGGCGGUGAGCGAUCUCAAAAUACAAUAUGCGGAUGGGAGAGGUUGGGGGGCGUGUAUCGCUUCUGGAGGUUUCCAGGUACUCGGCCCAAUCAACACAUAACCCUGGGUGCCUCAAAUCAUCACCUCUUUUUCCUUUUAAAAAAUGUCCUAAACUCUAUCUCUGUCUGCCUGGGACAUGGUGUAAGGUUAAAGAAGCACAUAUUGAAACACAAAUCAGAUCCUCUGGCCAAUUCCUCAUGGCCUUGAUCUUACUUGCUUCCCGACAUCUCCUUCCUCUUUUCGGCUUUCUCCCUCCUCCUUCCCAGUCCAGUGUAGGAGCUCCCAGUCAGUAGUUAUUCAGUGUAUAUUAUAUGCCAGGGGCUUUGCCUGCCUGCUCUUGGUUUAUCAAGAUGUAAUGGAGUGGAGUUAGAAUGGCUAAAAGCACAGCCUCUGGAGCUGGACAGCCUGGGUGCAAAUCCCAGUUCUGUGGCUUUGGGCAUGUUACUUAAUGCAUGCCUCAGUUUCCCCAUCUAUAAAAUGGGAUGAGAACAAUCGUUAAUACAAAAGAAAUGCUUGGGGUGCCUGGGUGGCUUAGUUGGUUAAGCAUCUGCCUUCACCUCAGGUCAUGAUCCUGGAGUCCUGGGAUCGAGCCCCAUGUCAGGCUCCCUGCUAGGCAGGGAGCCUGCUUCUCUCUCUCUCCUCCAGCUCCUGCUCUCUCUUGCUAUCCCUGUCUCUGUCUCUCUCAAAUAAAUAAAUAAAUAAAAUCUUUUAAAAAAUUAUUUAAAAAAUAACAGAAAUGCUUAGCACCAUGCCUGACACAGUGAGUACUACGGCAAAGUCCGCCCUCUUUAAUUACUAUCCUCACAACACUGCCCCAAUUCCCCAUGCCGCAAGCAUUGCAUUAUUAUCCCUGAUUUAUAGGUGAGGAGUUGGGAUCAAAUUCACACAUCUGGUAAAAGGUGAAGCCGGGACCUUCACCAGAUCCGUCUAACUCUAAAGCUAAUACUCUUUACACAACAAUAUUUAUUCAAUUCAAAAACAUCUAACGAGUUCCUUCGCCAUGCCAGAAAUACUGAGAAUAAACAGAAGCAGAAGCUGAUGUUAUGGAGAGUCUGGCUAAGCCUUGAGCUAUACAUCAACAGGAUGCGGAAGGGGACGUUCCCUGUUGGACCCAGAACUGGCCGCCUGGGCCCACAGCUGGGGACAAGGGACAGGCAUGAAGGAGCAGGCAACCAGUGGGGCCCAGGACCUCCCUCUGGGAUUUCUAAGAGGCAGAGACCGGGUCCUGCAGUAUUCCAAACCAUCGCCAUUCCCUGCCUCUAGAAGCAGAAGAGGAGAUGCUGGCUGAGUGGGGAAACCUGAGGACUGUCCCUGCCCAUCCACCCCACAGCUGAGACAGAUGGCUGCCAAGAGAGUCACAAAGAUCACACACCCCUACAGGAAGGGGAGAGUGGCACCUUCUUCUCUAUAGGCAUUUGUUUAACCAGGGGUCUUGCUCAUCUGCUUUUCACCGUUCUGAUCAGACGAGUGGUGGAAUGGUAAUAAGUGGCAAGCAGAGGGAAGGGAGAGCAUAGAAGAUCCUGCACUCGGAGCCCUCGAGGGGGCAAGAGUGAGUGUGGGGACACAGAAGGCACCACCCCAGCCCCCAGGCCUGACCACAUCACUGCCAGAGACCACCGAGCUCCCUACUGCCAGCCCCACAUCUCCCCAUCUGAGGAGUCUCUCUGGCCACCAGAGUCCUCCUUCUUCAUGUCCAUGCAACAGGCUGGAGGAGCCCCAAGGAAUUAAGGGUUUCCAGAAGCAGCCCUCAACCUCUACCUGCAGGGAGCUGGUGAGUAAACUCUCUGGCACCGUCACCCCUACACUGAGUGCCCAGGAGGAUCAUGACCCAGGUGCCCACGGUGGUAACCUGCCUGAUAACACGUCCUUUAGUACAGGUCUCAUCCCCCUGCUUCCCUUCUGGUUUUUCUUGGCAUUACCCCCAAAUAAAACACUUGUA